rnacentral:rRNA from 1 species
AUUGAACGCUGGCGGCAGGCCUAACACAUGCAAGUCGAACGAGUGGCGGACGGGUGAGUAAUGUAUGGGAAACUGCCUGAUGGAGGGGGAUACCUACUGGAAACGGUAGCUAAUACCGCAUACCAUCGGAUGUGCCCAGAUGGGAUUAGCUAGUAGGUGGGGUAAAGGCUCACCUAGGCGACGAUCCCUAGCGGGUCUGAGAGGAUGACCAGCCACACUGGAAAUGAGACACGGUCCGGACUCCUACGGGAGGCAGCGGGGGGGAAUAUGGCACAAUGGGCGCAAGCCUGAUGCAGCCAGGCCGGGGGGAUAAAGAAGGCCUUCGAUUUGUAAAGUACUUUCAGCGGGGAGACGUUACCCGCAGAAGAAGCACCGGCUAACUCCGUGCCAGCAGCCGCGGUAAUUC